AAACACACAAAAAGAAAAUUUCUUGGCAAUGUAGAACUUUUAGAAUAACCUGGGGCAAGGAAGAAAUCAAAAUAGCAAUGAUAGACUACUUAGAAAAUAAUGUCAGUUUCAAAAUUGCAUAUCACCAUGAAUAAGAUGUGGAUUAACUGUACUCACAGAUAACUUUAUCACCUUAAGUGUAAUGCAAAUAACUGAAUUAAGAUUUUAACUUCUAUUUUAGGAUGCCUCCAGGCUUGGCUGUUUAUUGGGCUAUGACUAAUUAAUGAGGGCUAGUCCUCUUCACCUCUUAUUUGCUGCUUGCCUUUUCUCACAAAUGCUAGGAUGUUUAUGGCUGUUUUUGCCAUUGCUCCAGCUGAAUUUGGAAGGAGUGUUAGAACCUCUGGAACCUGGAAGAACUUUGCCUGGAUGGUGGUAUUCAAGUUGCCAAUUAACCAAUGCACACUGAGGGCCUCUGACUUCACUAGGUGGGAUGCCUGUGGAUGUACUGUCCAUAUCGGCCUGACACUGUAUGUAUGUCCCAGUUUGCAUGGACGAAAGCAUAGCAACCCCCACUGAAAUUAAAACAGAAAAUUAUAUGGUUGAGUCAGUUUAAAUACAAUGAUAUAGGUAUGUUUUUCUUUUUUAAAAGUUAUUCCAAAAUUGUUGUUCAAAGUAG